UGAUAGUUGUACAUCUUCUACUAGAUCAAGUUAAAUAUAGCUAUCCUUUUCUAGAUGUAAUGUGAAAGUGUACCUUAUAGUAUUUUUCAUUCUUAGGUGGAUCUUGAUAAAACUGCCUUGUUUUGUGGUUUGCACGAGACGGUUGACACAAUGAUCUGAAGUUCAAACUGCCAUUUUCUACUGUCCGCUGCGAGAUCUUGGCUGGAAUGUAAAAGGAAUGUCCAAAAUAUUUAAAUGACAAACAGGAUGGGAACUGAUUAUGAGGAAUGUAUGUCCAGUUUUUUUUUGUUUUUUUUUAAAUACAGAUAUGAAAGAUGACAGUACCCUAACUUAGAGUCAUAGGUCUUUCAUUAAUUUAUUUACUCAGAUGCUGAAACAGACAUCUGGCAUAUUCCUAUAAUCAGUAUCAUGGCCUUUGUAUACAACAAAAUUGAUUGGAACUCCUACACUAGAAAUAUAAUUCAAGAUUUAAAUAAGGCACUGGUCAUAGUUUUAGAAAGAGUGGCUAGCAUUCUGGUAAGAUAUUUUAUUAAUAAUUAGAAAUUAAAUUAAAUUUUAUGUAAUGAUUUUAAAUUUCUUUUUUAAGAAUUAUGGUCCAUUUUUUCCCCAUUUGUGUACAAAGAAGGAAGAAAGAGAGAUGGGAAGACAUCAAAGAAUGGACAGGUCUGCCAUGAAAUGUUUUAUCCAUGGCUAAGUACAGAGAGGAAUAUAGAAGGGCUGUUGACAGAUCUUGUGUAGUGCCCCCAUGGUUCAACAGACUGAUUGAUAGAAAAUAAUACCAGGGUUAUGGUCCUUUCACUGUUGAGUUCCAGGAUGAAGAAUGAAAGACAGAGAGCAAUGUGAAGACAUCAAAGAAUGUGCAGGUCUGCCAUGAAAUUGUUUAUCUAGGACUAAGUACAGAGAGGAAUAUAGAAGGGCUGUCGACAGAUCUUGUGUGGUGCCCCCAUGGUUCAACAGACUGAUUGAUAGGUAAUGGUAAGAAUUUAAUGUAUUUUGAUUCUUACUUGUCAUUUUUGUGAUUAAUGCUCAGAAUAGAAUUUGUACAUUUUAAUUUUUUUUUUAUGUGGUUAUUUAGAAUUUGCAUUCAAGUUUUUCGUAGUGGCUGUUUGAAUCGACAUAUGCUUUUUGUGAUUUCUGUUUGGAAUCAAACUUGUGCAUUCAUUUUAUAAUUAUUUAGAAUGGACAUUUUUUAAUUUUUUUUUUGUAACUGAUGUUUGACAUCGGACUUGUGUUGUUUUUUGUUUUUUUUUAGAAUCAACGUGUUUUGUAUAGUGGCUGUUUGAAUAGAAAUUUGCUUUUUUCGGGAUGUCUGUUUGGAAUGAAAUUGUGCUUUUUUGUAAUGGCUGACUGGAAUCGGACUUGUGUGAUUAUGUUAUCGAUUUUCAGAAUUGGACUUGUGCCUUUUUAUGAUCAGUAAUAGAAAUCCGACUUGCGCAUUUUUUUUUGGUGGUUAUUAAAAUUUUUGUGAUGGGUGUUUUUAAUCAUACUUCUGCUUUUUUGUGUGGGCUGUUUGAAAAAGACUUGUGUUUUUCUGUGAUGGAUAUUCACAUUCCGAGUUGUGCAUUUACUUUGUGUUUUUUUAGAAUGGCAUUUUUAUUUGUUUAUUUUAUGUGAUGGCUGUUAGAAGUCUGACUUGUGCCUCCUUUUUAUGAUCGGUGUGGAGUUCGAAACUGGACUUGGUGGGUUUUUUUUGUGAUCAAUGUUCGGCAUAAGACUUGUUUUGUUUUUUUUAAUCAACUGAUUUUUUUUUAGUAGUGGCUGAUUGAAUUGACAUUUGGGUCUUUAUUGAUGGCAGUUCGGACAUGUGUUUUUUUAAUUGAUGUUCUUUAUCAGAUUUGUUUGUUUUUCUUUUAUCAAUGUUUUAAAUUGGACUUGUGCAUUUUUGUGAUCAAUGUUCUGCAUUAGACUUGUGGACUUUUUUUUUUUUGUGAUGGCUUUUUAUGAGCUCUGUUUGAAAUUAGACUUGUGUGUUUUUUGCGAUCAUUGUUUAGUAUCGAAUUUUUUUUUUUUUUUUUUUAAAGAAUCAUGUGCUUUUUUUUAGUAGCUGAAUGAAUUGACAUUUUCUUCUUUGGAGAUGGCUGUUUGGAAUCAGACAUGUGUAUAUUACUUAAGCUCUUCAUCGGAUUUGUGUGUUUUUAUGAUCAAUAUUGUGUUUUUCGUAGUGGUUGUUUAAAUUAAUUGGUUUUUUUUU